rnacentral:rRNA from 1 species
AUUGAACGCUGGCGGCAUGCUUUACACAUGCAAGUCGAACGGCAGCGCGGGCUUCGGCCUGGCGGCGAGUGGCGAACGGGUGAGUAAUACAUCGGAACGUGCCCAGUAGUGGGGGAUAGCUCGGCGACAGCCGGAUUAAUACCGCAUACGACCUGAGGGUGAAAGCGGGGGAUCUUCGGACCUCGCGCUAUUGGAGCGGCCGAUGGCAGAUUAGCUAGUUGGUGGGGUAAAGGCCUACCAAGGCGACGAUCUGUAGCUGGUCUGAGAGGACGACCAGCCACACUGGGACUGAGACACGGCCCAGACUCCUACGGGAGGCAGCAGUGGGGAAUUUUGGACAAAGGGCGAAAGCCUGAUCCAGCAAUGCCGCGUGUGUGAUGAAGGCCUUCGGGUUGUAAAGCACUUUUGGCGGGAACGAAAAGGACUGUGCCAAUACCACGGUUCGAUGACGGUACCCGCAGAAUAAGCACCGGCUAACUACGUG